GUCUGGCUGGCUCAGUCAGUGGAGCAUGAGACUCUUGAUCUCAGGGUUGUGGGUUCGAGCCCCACGUGGGGUG
rnacentral:tRNA from 1 species